AACGAACGCUGGCGGCGUGGAUAAGACAUGCAAGUCGAGCGCUGAUUGCAGGGUAGCAAUAUUCUGCAGUCGGAGCGGCGCAAGGGUGCGUAACACGUGGGUAAUCUGCCAUGAAGUUUGGGAUAACUUGCUGAAAGGCGAGCUAAUACCGGAUGUGAAAAUUGGGAGGCCUCUUCCGAUUUUUAAAGUUGGGGACCGUAAGGCCUGACGCUUCAUGAUGAGCCCGCGGCCUAUCAGCUAGUUGGUGAGGUAAUGGCUCACCAAGGCUAAGACGGGUAGCUGGUCUGAGAGGACGACCAGCCACACUGGAACUGAGACACGGUCCAGACACCUACGGGUGGCAGCAGUCGAGAAUUUUUCACAAUGGGCGCAAGCCUGAUGGAGCGACGCCGCGUGGGGGAUGAAUGGCUUCGGCCCGUAAACCCCUGUCAUUUGCGAUCAAACCUCGUUAUUUAAAAGAUGACGAGCUGAUAGUAGCGAAAGAGGAAGGGACGGCUAACUCUGUGC
rnacentral:rRNA from 1 species